UACAGCAGAUCGCCGAUUGUUCUCACUUUGAUUAUGCUGUAACAACAUACUGCAGCACCAUGACCAGGAACUCUAUUAAUUUAAUUGAGCAGAUUAGGGCUUUCAGGAGGAACGGAAAAUCUACUGGAGACAUUUAAAAGAUACUGGUAGACUUGGGGAUUUUAGUCACGGACAGUGCUAUUCGCAGACACUGUCAUCAGAUGCCUGUGUUACGCCGAACGCGAAAUCCCAGGAAAACGAACAGGUACAGUAGGUGACAACACUGCAAAGUUGGCCUAGUAAUGCUAAAAAUAAUCCUUAAAUAAAUCGACUGCUGGUCUUUACUGUAUGCUGCACAUUUUUACGUUGAAUACCAUUUCCAGCAAGACUAUUCAAGCCAUCGACUCACUGAUGAAUGAAAAUGAUGAGCGAUCGACAAAUGCCAUGUGUAAUCUGCUUGCAUCACGGCACAUCAACAUCGUUCUAAUCACAGUCAGAAGACAGUUGAAGAAACUUACAUGGACUUAUGGAAAGGCUCGUGGGAGAAAAACCAAAAGCCUGCUGUCGCCUCAUGGGUCUCCCAGUCACAGCUGGCACAGGAUCUGUAGUUACGCAGUAUUCACUGCGAUGCAGUGACAGCUGCGCCACUCAGGCACUGUACAAGGUCAUUCGUCGGGAGUGGACUACACUACCACAGGAUAGGACUGUAACCACCAGAGGACUUGAAAAUGAGUCGGAGCUGAGAGGAUCAAAACUAAAGGUGAAAAUCAUUACUCCCCAAUCAGUCAACCAGAAGAUACACCUCCUCCUGUUUCCUACCCAAUCACAGUUCCUUUCCCUUGGUUUAAAAACCCUGUCAGUUGUUUGCUCUACAGCUCAAUCUCUCUGUAAAUGCCAUGUCUGUAGGUCUCUGUGUUUCACUCUCGCUUUGUGUAUUAACCUCUCUUUUGUUUGAGCACCUCCAUAGCACUUUGUCAUCACCCGUGAGUAUUGUUUUUGGUUAUGGUGUUUGUGUUUGAUUGCUGGUGGGAAAAGGGGAAACCAAGACAAGUCGCCCAUGGGCAUACACUACCCGUAGGUAAACUUUGUUAAAUACACUAGUUAGAACUGGGCGGACCACCCACUGUAUUUUUGGUUAGUUAGCUGUUGUUAAAGUAGGCUAGUCUAGCUUAGGGGUGUUUUUGAAUACUUAUUGUUUCUUUCCUUGGGUCCAGCUCAGCCCC